UACAGAGGUCUCGAGCGUUGUUCGGAUUCAUUGGGCGUAAUGGGCGCGUAGGCGGCGGGGUAAGUCUGGUGUGAAAUCUCGGAGCUCAACUCCGAAAUUGCACUGGAUACUGCUCUGCUAGAGGGCUGGAGAGGAGAUCGGAAUUCACGGUGUAGCAGUGAAAUGCGUAGAUAUCGUGAGGAAGACCAGUGGCGAAGGCGGAUCUCUGGACAGCUCCUGACGCUGAGGCGCGAAGGCUAGGGGAGCAAACGGG
rnacentral:rRNA from 1 species